AUACGGGGGGUGCAAGCGUUAUUCGGAUUUAUUGGGCGUAAAGGGCGCGUAGGCGGCUUGGAAAGUCAGAUGUGAAAGCCCGGGGCUCAACCCCGGAAGUGCAUUUGAAACUAUCAGGCUUGAGUAUGGGAGAGGGAAGUGGAAUUCCUGGUGUAGAGGUGAAAUUCGUAGAUAUCAGGAGGAACACCGGUGGCGAAGGCGACUUCCUGGACCAAUACUGACGCUGAGGCGCGAAGGCGUGGGGAGCAAACAGGAUUAGAAACCCCGGUAGUCC
rnacentral:rRNA from 1 species